UGGGGAAUUUUGGACAAUGGGCGAAAGCCUGAUCCAGCAAUGCCGCGUGUGUGAAGAAGGCCUUCGGGUUGUAAAGCACUUUUGUCCGGAAAGAAAUCCUUGGCUCUAAUACAGUCGGGGGAUGACGGUACCGGAAGAAUAAGCACCGGCUAACUACGUGCCAGCAGCCGCGGUAAUACGUAGGGUGCAAGCGUUAAUCGGAAUUACUGGGCGUAAAGCGUGCGCAGGCGGUUUGCUAAGACCGAUGUGAAAUCCCCGGGCUCAACCUGGGAACUGCAUUGGUGACUGGCAGGCUAGAGUAUGGCAGAGGGGGGUAGAAUUCCACGUGUAGCAGUGAAAUGCGUAGAGAUGUGGAGGAAUACCGAUGGCGAAGGCAGCCCCCUGGGCCAAUACUGACGCUCAUGCACGAAAGCGUGGGGGAGCAAAACAGGGUUAGAUACCCCUGGUAGUCCACGCCCUAAAACGAUGUCAACUAGUUGUUGGGGGAUUCAUUUCCUUAGUAACGUAGCUAACGCGUGAAGUUGACCGCUGGGGAGUACGGUCGCAAGAUUAAAACUCAAAGGAAUUGACGGGGUCAUAGCUGUUUCCU
rnacentral:rRNA from 1 species